rnacentral:rRNA from 1 species
GACAGAGGGUGCAAACGUUGCUCGGAAUUACUGGGCGUAAAGCGUGCGCAGGCGGUUGUGCAAGACAGAUGUGAAAUCCCCGGGCUCAACCUGGGAAUUGCAUUUGUGACUGCACGGCUAGAGUGUGUCAGAGGGGGUAGAAUUCCACGUGUAGCAGUGAAAUGCGUAGAGAUGUGGAGGAAUACCGAUGGCGAAGGCAGCCCCCUGGGAUAACACUGACGCUCAUGCACGAAAGCGUGGGGAGCAAACAGG